ACUUAAGAAACAUCUUAUGAAAUUUACUUACCUGUCAAGAGAUGUUUUCUUAUAGUGAAAGUUGUGCAUGUAAUUCUUUGACCUGAGACUACCAUAGAACCUUGUAUAUAUGAAUCCAUAUUUUUUGGUUCAUACUCAUUCAUGACUUAGUCAUGUACGGGGUGUUCUAGAUAUGGUAGAAUGUGUAUGGAGGUUGUGAGUAG
rnacentral:lncRNA from 1 species